CACCUCAAUGUGCAAGGACAUAUAUGCGUGUUCAUAAAGGUCUUUGUAGAGAUGAAGCAGUCUCACGGAGUGUAAGGAUCGACGGCAAAAGAGGAGCACAAGACUGGAAAGACACCCAACUGGGGAAAGGAAGGCCAAGAUGAUUUCAGAGAUUCAGCUAGGCUUCAUCUCUUCCAAAUGAGGGUUUAACAUUGUGGUUGGCUAAACAAUGGCACCCGAAGAUAUCGAGGUCCUAAUCACCAAUCUCUGCCAUAUAAGCAAAAGGAGACUUUGCUGUGUAAGUGAAGGAUCUUGAGGGAGACUAAUUGUCCUGGAUCAUCUAAGUGGGCCCUAAAUGUACUUGCAAGUGUCCUUAUAAGAGGGCAGUGGAGGGAGAUUUGACCACAGAGAAGGCAAUGUGACAGAAGCAGAGAGAGAUGUGAACAUGCUACCCUGCUGGCUUUGAAGACAGAGGAGGUGGGGCAUGAGCCCCAGAAUGCAAUUCUAGAAGCUGGAAAAGUCAAGGAAAAAAGGCCUCCAGAGGGAACAGCACGCUGCCGGCACCUUGGCUUCAGCUCACGGUUUCUGGCCUCCAGAACUGUGAGAGAAUACAUUUGUGUUGUUUUAAGCCACGAAGCUUGUGGCCAUCUGCUACAGCAGCCACAGGAAACUAACACAAACAUAUUCACAGUAAAAUGUGUGAAGCGCACAAAGUGCACUAAUCUUAAGUGUAUCUUGAUCAAUUUUUACUUGUGUACACAUUUGUGAACCACAACCACAUACUUCCAGCACCCCAGAAGGUUCGCUGUGCCUUAUCCCAGUCAAUAUCCUUCCCUGAGAGGUAACUGCUAUUCUGAUUUAUCCCCAUUGAUUGGUUUCGCCUGUUCUCAAAUUUCUCAUAAUGGAAUCAUACAGUAUGAACUCAAACGUGUCUGGCUUCUUUCACUCAAUGUAACGCCUACCACGUGUUGUAUAUAUCAGUUCAUUCUUCUUAAUUACUAUGUUCUUUACUUUGGGACUUUAUUUAUCCUUUAUGAAUAAAAAUGCUAUAAACUUUCUUGUACAUGUUUUGAUGUACACAAGAGCUCACUUCUCCUGGGGACACCUAGGGGUGGGACUGCUGGGUCCCAGGGGAGGCUUAAGUUUACAGUGAAUACUGCCAAAGAGCUCUCCAAAACAAGUUAUAUCAUACACUUGCUGAGGGGGACUUGUAAAAAACACAAAUGUCCAGAUUUUACCAACCUGGAGAAAGAUUCAGUGGGUCAGAGACGGGACCUGGACAUCUACAUUAUUAAAACAUUUCACAGGUGAUCAUGUCACACAGCCCUGAUUGAGAAUCUCUGCCUUACUGGCUGCCUACUACUGCAAGGCCUUAAACUUAAGUAUUGUACAUAAAAAGUGAACACGAUCAGGUUCAUGUUUAGAUGGAGCAAAGGAAGAAAGACAAGCCAGGAACUGACUACUAACCAUAAAAGGCAGGAUGUGAGAACUAUUCUAGCUGAAGCAUAAAGGCCAAUGGGAAACUAUACACAUUAAGGAUGGAUUAAUACUAGUAAGGGGCAAGGAAUGUAAAUAGGGGAGGGAUCAUUAGACUGGGGGGGUUCCCUGAAGAGGAAGAGAUGUCACAAAAGAAGAAACGGGUCUUUUUUUGCCCCAGCCAGAAGAAGCCAACUUGAAAAACCUAUUCAUAGGCAACAACUAAUAAAAGAUGACAGAGUGCAGCUGUACCCAUUCCAAUCCUAUCCCAGAAAUCCACUGAAAUUAACAAAAAGAAGUAAAAUUAGAGAAGAAAUGAGAGAAGAAAAUCAUGAACAUAGAUCACAUCUCACUUAUGCUUUGUGUGUUUGAGCAAAAACUAAAGACAGAGGUCUAAAUACCUCCUAACACACAUAUGCUAGACUGGUAGACCCAGUGGAAAAGUAUUCACAGGCAAAUACUUGACUUAAAAGCUGGCAGCGUCAGCUCAUACCACCUCUCUUUCCAUCCAUUAUUUUUAAACAAAUAGCAAUCUUGGAUAGAACUGCUCCCACAUGGAAACUUUUGCAGAGACAGCCACAAGAGGUAACAAGUAAUAAUUAUCUACAUUUUCAAAGAAAUUGAAGAGAACAUGGACUAUAAAAAAGUUAAAAAAAAUUCAAAGAUAAAAAAAUUCAAAGAGCUGAAAAGACAUGAGAAGUAAGAUGGCAGAGACUAGGGGAAAAAAAUGGAUAUAAUAUUAAACUGCUACUGGGGGCCAGCUCCGUGGGUGAGUGGUUAAG